rnacentral:rRNA from 1 species
GAUGAACGCUGGCGGCGUGCUUAACACAUGCAAGUCGAACGGAGCUUAGAAGGAAGCUUGCUUUCAUUUAAGCUUAGUGGCGGACGGGUGAGUAACGCGUGAGCAACCUGCCCUCGAGUGGGGAAUAACAUCGAGAAAUCGGUGCUAAUACCGCAUAAAGUCGAGAGACCGCAUGAUCUUUCGACCAAAGGAUUUAUUCGCUUGAGGAUGGGCUCGCGUCCGAUUAGCUAGUUGGUGAGGUAACGGCCCACCAAGGCAACGAUCGGUAGCCGAACUGAGAGGUUGAUCGGCCACAUUGGGACUGAGACACGGCCCAGACUCCUACGGGAGGCAGCAGUGGGGAAUAUUGGGCAAUGGGCGAAAGCCUGACCCAGCAACGCCGCGUGAAGGAUGAAGGUCUUCGGAUUGUAAACUUCUUUGAUUGGGGAAGAAUAAAAUGACCUACC